rnacentral:rRNA from 1 species
CCUACGGGGGGCAGCAGUAGGGAAUCUUCCACAAUGGGCGCAAGCCUGAUGGAGCAACGCCGCGUGGUGAGGAAGGCUUUCGGGCUAAAGCUCUGUUCAGAGAGGCGCGGUACCUGAGAAGAAAGCCCCGGCUAACUACGUGCCAGCAGCCGCGGUAAUACGUAGGGGGCAAGCGUUGUCCGGAAUUAUUGGGCGUAAAGCGCGCGCAGGCGGUUCAUUAAGUCUGGUGUCUAAGUGCGGGGCUCAACCCCGUGAUGCACUGGAAACUGGGGAACUUGAGUGCAGAAGAGGAGAGCGGAAUUCCACGUGUAGCGGUGAAAUGCGUAGAGAUGUGGAGGAACACCAGUGGCGAAGGCGGCUCUCUGGACUGUACUGACGCUGAGGCGCGAAAGCGUGGGGAGCAAACAGGAUUAGAUACCCUUGUAGUC